rnacentral:lncRNA from 1 species
UAUUCCCAAAGUCAGUUCAGAGGUGGAGUCAGGGGCCGGGCGUGGUGGUUCCCGCCUGUAAUCCCAGCACUUUGGGAGGUCGAGGAGGGCAGAUCAUGAGGUCAAGACAUGGAGAUCAUUCUGGCUAACACGGUGAAACCCCGUCUCUACUAAAAAUACAAAAACUAGCCGGGGGUGGUGGCGGCGCCUGUGGUCCCAGCUACUCGGGAGGCUGAGGCAGGAGAAUGGCGGGAACCUGGGGGGGCGGAGCUUGCAGGGAGCCAAGAUGGCGCCGCUCACUCCAGCCUGGGCCACAGACCCAGACUCCAUCUGAAAAACAAACGAACAAAGAGUUGGUUCUAGCUAAUUGGUGGAAACAGUCUUCUCUGUAAAGACUUUUGCCAUCUAAAGGAGUUUACCAGUGACAGCUCUUGACUGAUUAUCGUGGGGGGUGAUCGCCUCUUUGGAUGGAGGUGGGAGUGUGCUGGCCUGGAGCCAACGAGACACUGAGCUUUUGAAACUCUGUCUCACACUCCCUCCAUGGAGCUCAGCCACAGCUUUCUCUAGCACUUCGCUAACACCUUGAUACGUGAACCUCCAACUUGAUAUCUCAAGGUAUACCUUAGAUGGGGACUACUUUGAAAUCAGCCUUUUAUUUUAGUUUUUGAAAUAUUUUUAUCAUUUAAAGCUUUUUUAAGGAGGGGAUGAGAUGAAGCAAUUUCAAAAGUACACAGAACAAUACAGAGAGAACAUCCAUGUUUCCACCAUCUGUCACCCGGUCUCCAAAAGUAUCAACUCCUGACUAAUCUUGUUCGACGUUAAGUGAUUGCAGCAUUCAGUCAAUUCUUCAGUUUCCUAUUUCUGUGCCUCCAUACCUUCAUUUCCAAGACAGAAGUGUUUGGCAAUUUACUAGCCCCUGGGCAGCACUCCAACAGUCAUUGGCAGAGGUAGGGUAUAGAAGCAUAGCUCCUUUGUAUUGAAUCAGGAAGUCUCAAAGAUUUGUGUAUACUCUUGACUUCCAUUGCAGGAUUUUGCUAAUGCUACCUUCUGU